UAAUAACAGCUGUUGUUUGCCCAUCAUCUAGACAGGUCUGCCUUAUUUGUUUGUUUGUUUUUAUGUUUUGCCUCAUUAUUUUUAACUGCCUGGUGGAACUGCCUGGUAUCCCAUAAUAUGGAGGGACCCUCAUUUAUUUUUACAGUUGCCCAUUAAUAGGAUUUUUUAAAUUGCAAAUGAGGGGAAAGCCCUUGCAAAUAGCAUUAUGCACAUGUGUGAGUAUUCCCUGGGAUAAAUAUCUAAAAUGGUAACUGCAGGUUGUUCCUUUCCAGAAACUUCUCUUUCCCAGCUACACUGUAGCUCCUGGUAACUCUCUGCUCCUGGAGCCUAAGGGAGGGAGUUGUGGCCUUUUCCAUUGUAAGGCAAGAAUGAGCUGCCCAAGCAAACUUGGAGACACUCUGCCAGGGGUGCCCUCGCUUGCCAGAGUUGGAUGGAGGAGGAGAGGUGGAAAUACGAAAUAUGACAGCUAAGAACCUUGAGCUUGGGCAACCUUCUGGGUGGUGGGCAGCCAGUCCUCUGCCCACGCUGUGGGUGUGCUGCUGUCCGCUGAGGGGACCUGCCUAUUAGCUGAGCGUCUGGGGAGGAGGAAAUGCAUGGGCUUCAUCCUUCACAGAGAGAGAAAGCAAAGCUUUUCUAGGAAAACAGACUAAGUGACGGGUGCUCCCAGCGCUGGCAAAAUUAUCAACCACGCGUUGCAAUUCUCAGCCUCUGCAAAAAGAAAAUAAUGAGCCUGUGUGUUCCUAGGCUUGAUUAAACAGUAAUUAGGCUUCAAAAGCUUGCUAAAUGCCCCUCUUUAAAAACCACCCAGCUAGGCAAUUUUUCUUUCACAUUUAAUAGCAACUAUUCUUGUACUCUUUCUCGUCCAAAGUGGCCGUAAUUGUAGGGGUCUGAUGAACAAGCACUCUCAGAAGCUGCUGGUGGGAGAGGGAGGUAGCACAGUCUUUCGGAGGAGUAACUGAUGAUCCGUCUGGAGAGCCUUAAAAACCUUCCUGCCCUUUGGCUCAGUAAUUCCACUUCUAGGAAUCUAUGCAAUAAAUAGACCCAGAGAUAAAGAUUUAUGUACAAAGAUGUUUAUCACAACCUGGUCAAUAGUACAAAAAUAUUGGAAAUUACCUAAAUAGUGACCUUUAAUGAGGGACGAGUUUUAGAAUCAAAUGAAAGUCCAUUAAACACUUGUUGCACACACACGGAUACACUGGGGCAGGAGCUGGGUGGCCUAGCAGCAGUUUGAGCAUCUCUAUUUUUAACAAGCUCACCCAAGUAAUUCUUAUGUUAAUGCCAUAAGUAUGUUAAUGGUGAAUGUUAAUAAUUCUCAUGAUCCCUCUAGGAUUAUGGAUAUUUCUUCUUUAAACGUAUUUUUUUUUAAAUAUCCCACAAUGGAUUGCAUGAAUUGCUUUUAUGAUCAGAAAAAUAUAUUAAGAAAAUAGACUAGAAGACAAUAGGAAGUUCAGCUGGCAAACACCUACUGUAUACCAGGCCCUGUGCUUGGCAUUGAGGAUACUGAAAUAAAGCAGAGUCUGUUCUUCAAGAAGUUCACAGUCGCUCUCCAACCCGCAGCUACCGCGCCGCUCAGGGGGAGACCCCGGCAGGAGCCCGAGGGCAGCUACCGGGCUGCACAGGCCGCUGGCGCUGCCUCGGCCAGCCCUUCCCGCGAGGUGAGGACCGCGGGGCUGUGGCGGGAAGGGACCCGAGGUUCCAUUGCCUUAAGGAUGACAAUCCUAGGGCACCCUCAAAGUUGGAGCUGCCAGUGGUUGCCAGUCCUGAUACUGCUGCUGGGCACAGGCCAUGAGCCAGGGGUGGAAGGCGUGACACACUACAAGGCCGGUGACCCUGUCAUUCUAUAUGUCAGCAAAGUGGGACCCUACCAUAACCAUCAGGAAACUUACCACUACUGUCAGCUUCCAGUCUGCUGCCAUGAGAAGACAUGUCACAAAAGCCUUAGCCUGGGUAAAGUGCCGGAUGGGGACCGAAUGGCUGAGUCUUUGUAUGAGAUCCGCUUUCGGGAGAACGUGGAGAAGAGAAUUCUGAGCCACAUGCAGCUCAGUUCUGCACAGGUGCAGCAGCUGCGCCAGGCCAUUGAGGAACUAUACUACUUUGAAUUUGUGGUAGAUGACUUGCCAAUCCGUGGCUUUGUUGGCUACACGGAGGAGAGUGGCUUCCUGCCACACAGCUACAAGAUAGGACUAUGGACCCAUUUGGACUUCCACCUAGAAUUCCAUGGAGAUCGAAUUAUAUUUGCCAAUGUUUCGGUGCGGGAUGUCAAGCCCCACAACUUGGAUGGGUUACAACCCGAUGAGUUCCUACGCCUUACUCACACUUACAGUGUGCGCUGGUCUGAGACUUCAGUGGCACGUCGGAGUGACAGGCGCCGUGGUGAUGAUGGUGGUUUCUUUCCCCGAACACUGGAAAUCCAUUGGUUGUCUAUCAUCAACUCCAUAGUGCUUGUGUUUUCACUGGUGGGUUUUGUGGCUGUCAUUCUAAUGCGUGUGCUUCGGAAUGACCUGGCUCGCUAUAACUUGGACGAGGAGACCACUUCUGGAAGUUCUGGUGAUGAUUUUGACCAGGGUGACAACGGCUGGAAAAUUAUCCAUACAGAUGUCUUCCGCUUCCCUCCAUACCGUGGUCUGCUCUGUGCCGUGCUUGGCGUGGGUGCCCAGUUCCUGGGCCCUUGGCACUGGCAUUAUUUGUCAUGGCACUGCUGGGCAUGUUCAAUGUGCAUCGUCAUGGGUCCAUUAACUCGGCAGCCAUCUUGUUGUAUGCCCUGACCUGCUGCAUCUCUGGCUACGUGUCCAGCCACUUCUACCGACAGAUUGGAGGCAAAUGUUGAGUGUGGAACAUCAUUCUCACCACCAGUCUCUUCUCUGUGCCUUUCUUCCUGACGUGGAGUGUGGUGAACUCGGUGCAUUGGGCCAAUGGUUCGACACAGGCUCUGCCAGCCACCACUAUCCUGCUGCUUCUGACGGUUUGGCUGCUGGUGGGCUUUCCCCUCACUGUCAUCGGAGGCAUCUUCGGGAAGAACAACGCUAGCUCCUUUGAUGCACCUUGUCGCACCAAGAACAUCGCCCGGGAGAUCUCAUCCCAGCCCUGGUACAAGUCUACUUUCAUCCAUAUGACUGUUGGAGGCUUCCUGCCUUUCAGUGCCAUCUCCGUGGAGCUGUACUACAUCUUUGCCACAGUGUGGGGUCGGGAGCAGUACACUUUGUAUGGCAUCCUCUUCUUUGUCUUCGCCAUCCUGCUGAGUGUGGGAGCUUCCAUCUCCAUUGCACUCACCUACUUCCAGUUGUCUGGACAGGAUCACCGCUGGUGGUGGGAUCUGUGCUGAGUGUUGGCUCCACUGGCCUCUUCAUCUUCCUCUACUCAGUUUUCUACUAUGCCCGGCGCUCCAGUAUGUCAGGGGCAGUACAGACUGUAGAGUUCUUUGGCUACUCCUUACUCACUGGUUACAUCUUUUUCCUCAUGCUGGGCACUAUCUCUUUUU